rnacentral:rRNA from 1 species
GAGUUUGAUCCUGGCUCAGGAUGAACGCUGGCGGCGUGCCUAAUACAUGCAAGUCGAACGAGGUACUUUUGUAGUAAUACGAAAGUGUCCUAGUGGCGAACGGGUGAGUAACGCGUUGGUGACCUACCCCAAAGUGUGGGAUAACAGUUCGAAAGGAUUGCUAAUACCGCAUGUGGUCUUCGGAUUUAGAAACUGAUGACUAAAGGAGUAAUCCGCUUUGGGAGGGACCUGCGUCCCAUCAGCUAGUUGGUGAGGUAAUGGCUCACCAAGGCUACGACGGGUAGGGGACCUGAGAGGGUGACCCCCCACAAUGGAACUGAAACACGGUCCAUACACCUACGGGUGGCAGCAGUAGGGAAUAUUGCACAAUGGGCGAAAGCCUGAUGCAGCAACGCCGCGUGUGCGAUGAAGGCCUUCGGGUCGUAAAGCACUUUUCUGAGGGAUGAGCAAGGACAGUACCUCAGGAAUAAGUCUCGGCUAACUACGUGCCAGCAGCCGCGGUAAUCCC